CAAUAGCUAAAUAAGAGCGUAUGGGGAAUGCCUAGGCUCUCAGAGGCGAUGAAGGACGUGAUAAGCUGCGAAAAGCUGCGGGGAUUGGCACAUACAAAUUGAUCCGCAGAUAUCCGAAUGGGGCAACCCAGCAUGUUGAAGACAUGUUAUCCGUAAGGAGGCGAACCCGGAGAACUGAAACAUCUAAGUACCCGGAGGAGAAGAAAACAAAAGUGAUUCCGAUAGUAGCGGCGAGCGAACUUGGAAUAGCCCAAACCAGUAUUGUUACGGCAAUACUGGGGUUGUAGGACUGCGAUAUUUGAGCUAUAAUGAAUUAGAACUGUUUGGAAAGACAGGCCAUAGAAAGUGAUAGCCCUGUAUAAGUAAAGAUUAGUAAGAUAGCAGUAUCCUGAGUAGUGCGGGGCACGUGAAACCCUGUAUGAAUUUGUCGGGA
rnacentral:rRNA from 1 species